UUCUGAUCUAGUGGCGGACGGGUGAGUAACACGUGAGCAAUCUGCCUUUCAGAGGGGGAUACCGAUUGGAAACGAUCGUUAAUACCGCAUAAUAUAAUUGAACCGCAUGAUUUGAUUAUCAAAGAUUUAUCGCUGAAAGAUGAGCUCGCGUCUGAUUAGCUAGUUGGUAAGGUAACGGCUUACCAAGGCGACGAUCAGUAGCCGGACUGAGAGGUUGAUCGGCCACAUUGGGACUGAGACACGGCCCAGACUCCUACGGGAGGCAGCAGUGGGGAAUAUUGCACAAUGGAGGAAACUCUGAUGCAGCGAUGCCGCGUGAGGGAAGAAGGUUUUAGGAUUGUAAACCUCUGUCUUCAGGGACGAAAAAUGACGGUACCUGAGGAGGAAGCUCCGGCUAACUACGUGCCAGCAGCCGCGGUAAUACGUAGGGAGCGAGCGUUGUCCGGAAUUACUGGGUGUAAAGGGAGCGUAGGCGGGAUCGCAAGUCAGAUGUGAAAACUAUGGGCUUAACCCAUAAACUGCAUUUGAAACUGUGGUUCUUGAGUGAAGUAGAGGUAAGCGGAAUUCCUAGUGUAGCGGUGGAAUGCGUAGAUAUUAGGAGGAACAUCAGUGGCGAAGGCGGCUUACUGGGCUUUAACUGACGCUGAGGCUCGAAA
rnacentral:rRNA from 1 species